rnacentral:lncRNA from 1 species
GGAUACUGGCGACGCAAAGCAGGAACGGGAUAUUGUUCUCUUGAUGGUGGUCAAGCAAGCGGCAGAGACAUCGGGUGGAUGGAAGCUGACGAUAGAUGGGGCUGAACGGAGACCGCCGAUGGGCAAUCACGAGCGUAUGAAAUAAGCAGAAAAGGAGCUGAAAGGUGCAAGAGAAUCCACAGAGGCCAUGGUCAAAUUAAAAUUCAACGUACUGCUUAUGGUUACUGGUUAGCGGAUGCGUUGUUGAUUUAUAGGAAGGCGGGAGCCUUUUUAACCAUGGUUAGUUGGGCUCAGUUAGAAAAUAUUGGUAGGCUUGUCCAAUUGGGUAAUCACAUGUUAAAAUUUUCUAAUCAUUAAUUAUGUACUUAAAUAAAU